rnacentral:rRNA from 1 species
CCUACGGGUGGCAGCAGUGAGGAAUAUUGCACAAUGGGGGAAACCCUGAUGCAGCAACGCCGCGUGGGUGAAGGAGUGUUUCUGCGCGUAAAGCCCUGUCAGCGGGGAAGAAGAAAGACGGUACCCGACCAAGAAGCCCCGGCUAACUACGUGCCAGCAGCCUCGGUAAUACGUAGGGGGCGAGCGUUAUCCGGAAUUACUGGGUGUAACGGGAUCGUAGACGGCGAGGUAAGCCUGAAGUGGCAUCCCGCGGCCCAACCGCGGAACUGCUUUGGGAACUGUGUUGCUGGAGUAUGGGAGGGGUAAGCGGAAUGCGUGGUGUAGCGGUGAAAUGCGUAGAUAUCAGGAGGAACACCGGUGGCGAAGGCGGCUUACUGGACCAUAACUGACGUUGAGGCUCGAAAGCGUGGGGAGCGAACAGGAUUAGAUACCCGAAUAGUC